rnacentral:rRNA from 1 species
CGCCCGCGGUUAACUUGAAUGUAGGUCAUGCGGGAAUACCCUUUCUGGUUGCUGCGCGCUCGGCGCGGAUUUGCUGGUGGAUGGCAGCCCAUCCGUGAUUUUCGGCUUUCACCGGCGCGGGUUUGUGGGAGGACAUCGGCCGACCGUUGGCGGCAGCGUGGGCACGCUCCCAACUUGCGGCGAUUUCAGCUUGGCGCUGCGCUUUCGCAUCAGCGGCGACCGCGGCUAGAACUUCAACGGUAAUCCGUUU